UAGUAUCAUUAGGGGUGCAAUUCAAUUUGCUGAGAGAAAGUCUACUUUCAACCCUUGAACCUGUUGGUUAGCACCAGCGUAGGAAAGUGAGCAAUAUUGAUA
rnacentral:ncRNA from 17 species